CAGCAGAUUGUUUGUGUAGCUUUGUUCAUGAGGAAACUGACACUGUCUCACCUUGAAGACUAUUUUGAAAAAGGGAUUCAGCCUGAACUGAACCCAUCCUUACCUCAACCCAUGGCUUGUGUUCUGAUUGCUCUGAGAAAACAAAGAUGGGCAACAUUUGCAAGAUCAGCACUUACGAUGAGGAGUGACGGGAAGGGAAACUGCAGUGAAGGAAGGAUGGGAAGGGAUCAAAGGAAACGACCUGUGGUUAUCUUGCAAUGUGUUUUUUUUUUCUUCAAAAUGGAAAAAAGGAAGAUGGUCCACUUCUAUGCUGUCUGCCAUGUUACACCGCUAUGUUUCUACAGAAGCCCAGAAAGGACAAACUAAACCCUAAAGACAGCAGCAAACGUAGGUUCUCCAACACACUUGGAAGGGGAAGGUAAGUAACGGGUGUUCAAUUGGUUGCCAUUUGCAACCUCACUGCUACGUGCCACUAAAUCCAGCACACUGGACCUUUAAGGUUAGGGAACCAUGAUUUUGAAUAAUGUUGACUGUCGAUUAGAAACAAGACAUGACCAGCAGUCUCCUGUAAGUCUGAAGUUUUAUUGACCCAUACAUCAAUGGCAACUUUCUCCCUCUGCAGACUUUGUUACUCUUUAGCAACUUCACCUUACCUUCCUCCUUGACGUCAGCAUGUGUCUGUUAGAGGAAAAUUUUGCUGUAUUAAAUGUCAGGGACUGUAAUAGCCAGCAAUAAAUCAUACUGCUCUUACGUAAUAUGAGUUUGCUUCACCUCUAAAACAUCUAAUGGAAACUACUGUUUUGUACUAUAAUGUGUUAUCUCUGCUCUUUUUCUGUCUCCCUCUCUUAUUUGGAAUGAAUCACUCACAUGAGAGGAACUGAAGUGGCACUUCACUCUAAAAACAAACUCCUCUCUCCCUUUGGCGCCGGUGUUUACAGACGAGCUGUUUGUGGCCCAGAUGCAGAUCACAAAUCGUUGUUGUUAAAUGAAAACCUGAUGUCCCUUAUUGCCGAUAGUCAUAUGAAAAUCAUUAUAUCCAACGGAAGAAUUACGCACUCAUCUGAAAACUGAGGCCAUCUUCAAUCUUACGAAACACUAAUAAAUCAAGUUGCAUAAACC
rnacentral:lncRNA from 1 species